rnacentral:rRNA from 1 species
AUUGAACGCUGGCGGCAGGCCUAACACAUGCAAGUCGAACGAGUGGCGGACGGGUGAGUAAUGUCUGGGAAACUGCCCGAUGGAGGGGGAUAACUACUGGAAACGGUAGCUCAUACCGCAUACCCUCGGAUGUGCCCAGAUGGGAUUAGCUAGUAGGUGGGGUAACGGCUCACCUAGGCGACGAUCCCUAGCUGGUCUGAGCGGAUGACCAGCCAAACUGGAAUAGAGACACGGUCAAGACUGCUACGGGAGGCAGCAGUGGGGAAUAGUGCACAAUGGGCGAAAGCCUGAUGCAGCCAUGCCGCGGGUAUGAAGAAGGCCUUCGGGUUGUAAAGCACUUUCAGCGGGGAGGCGUUACUCGCAGAAGAAGCGCCGGCUAACUCCGUGCCAGCCGCCGCGGUAAUAC